rnacentral:rRNA from 1 species
GAGUUUGAUUCUGGCUCAGAGUGAACGCUGGCGGCGUGCCUAAUACAUGCAAGUCGAACGGUAACAGGAAGUAGCUUGCUACUUUGCUGACGAGUGGCGCACGGGUGAGUAAUGCAUAGGUUAUGUGCCCCAUAGUCUGGAAUAGCCACUGGAAACGGUGAUUAAUACCGGAUACUCCCGAGAGGGGAAAGUUUUUCGCUAUGGGAUCAGCCUAUGUCCUAUCAGCUUGUUGGUGAGGUAAUGGCUCACCAAGGCUAUGACGGGUAUCCGGCCUGAGAGGGUGAACGGACACACUGGAACUGAGACACGGUCCAGACUCCUACGGGAGGCAGCAGUAGGGAAUAUUGCUCAAUGGGCGAAAGCCUGAAGCAGCAACGCCGCGUGGAGGAUGAAGGUCUUCGGAUUGUAAACUCCUUUUCUAAGAGAAGAUUAUGACGUUCUNGANGC